GUCUAUCCCAACCAUCAGGGGUACUGUGAAGAUCCAGGGGUUCACUUAGACAACGCCCUUAGAGGAGGUAGGACACAUGACACAGUGGGUUCAGACCCGCUGGUUCAUGACAAUUAAACACAUUAGCAUCCUGGC